UAUGAAAUAAGCUGCUAAUUGGAGCUUGCAUGCAUGCUUAGCAUAUGGACAACAUAAUUAUAGUUGUACAGUUAAGGGAAGCUUACACUAGAGGAAGAGAAUGGAACGGUGCAGGGUGUGAUGCGCUCCUUUGAAAUCAAUGGAAUGACAGAGCUAUCGAUCUGAAAUAUGUUAUUUUCACUUGCCCACCACGAAUCAAAAAAGAAUGCUUAAACAUCAGUUCAUCCCGUCAAUUCCAGUAUUAGAAUUGUUCCCAAUGGGCAUAGCAGACAAUGAAAGCCAAACAAGAGGAAGGAUUUGAUCCAGUUCCCCAUUAAAUUCAGAAGAAAGACUAAUAACUUCAGCGAUAAUCGGUGUUGGACUGGAACCUAC